GGGGAUGUAGCUCAGUGGUAGAGCACUUGCCUAAAAUGCACAAGGCCCUGGGUUUGAUGCCCAGCACCA
rnacentral:tRNA from 1 species